GCGUCACUACUAUGUAUCGAGUAGCUAACAUCCCUGUAGUAAUGCUAUUUUUCCUCAAGUAGCGACGUUGUCUACAAAAGCUACAAUUUGUCCCCCAUCGAUUUUACUCAAUGAUUUUUGUUUUACUUUCUCUAUCCUGAAACCUAGGCAGUCACACAGGGGUUCCAAGACCCACCGGCGUAAAAUCAAGUCAAAGGCUGCUGUCUCAUAAUAUGGCGAAGACGAGUCACCUGAAGGCCUAACUCGCCAUAGAAGACUGAAAGAAUUGUCCUGCAGGAUGCUGUGUCCUGCAAUCCUGUGUGCUGUGCUACAGACGCGUGUGGAGGUCAACCCAAAAUGGGCACAGUCUCACCACAGAAGAGUGAAAGAGGCUCCCAGAAGUGAGACUGAGUGCCUGUUGCAGUAUGACGAGGACGCAGUGACCAGAGACCUUCAGUAGACCCUGGCUGAAGAACAUGAAAUCAACUGCAAUGUUUAUAAUGUUGUACAUACCUGUAUAGUCUGUAUUAAAAGGCAGUACCUGUAGUAUUUUUCCUCUUACUUUCAUAUUUACCACAUAUUUACUAUGAAUUGACAACUUUUACUAAAAUCCAUUUUUGUAUGUGCCCUGAGUAAAACUAUCCUUAAACCCAACCUGUCAGAGAUGUAACAACAACCUGCUCUUAGCAAUGUGGCAGCAGUCUACUUGGAUGCAGCGGGGAACAUAGAACCCUUUUUUGAAAAAGCAUUGUAUGUUUCUGAGUUUUAUGAAUUGUGCCCUUCCCAAACAUCAUGCAUAGGCUAAGCGUAUCUAUGACACGCUGAUUUGAACUCACUAUCGCGUGUGUCCAAUACGCAUUUUCAAGUUAAGUCGUGCUCCACAACGCCCUGUGACAGGUUAGGUUUAGGGAUGGUUUUGGUUUAGGCACAAUUUAGGUAGAAAUUCGCCUAAUCUUGCUGUUCUUGGCAAAAGUAAAGCAGCAGAAACAUUACUUCACUGACAGGUUAGGUUUAGGGGUGGUUUUGGUUAGGGCACAGCAAAACAUAUUUGCGUUUAGUAACAGAAAUGAGCUGUGACAAAACAAAAUCGCCGACACGGCGGGAAAACUGCGCAAACCUCGUCACUAGUCAAAAGUGCAUGAAAGCGCUUUACCGUUGCGUUGAGGAGCACGCUUUGAAUUCAAAAUGCGUCGCACCAUGCACUAGCGUGCGAUACGUACGCUAAAGCAUGAUGACAGCCUGCCCAAACUUAACCUGUCGGUAAUGAAAUGUUUCCUAGUUGUACAUUUGUGACCUGAGUGCUGUGUACAUCACUGCAUAUAGAGUAUAGGCCUAUUGUUUGCAGGGUAUGUGUGUAGUUGCAUGGUUCUUGUCAAAGUGUGUGUACAUUGUUUGCUUUGGUGUGAUAUUAAAAGCGUUUUUUAAAAAUAAUUUUCAUUUCAUUCAUUUUC